GGGAAAGCCCGGAAAGCCUCAGGCUGUGGCCUAGCACAAGGCCAACAGCCAUUAACUAUGUGGAUGUUUCUGUUUUUGGAAGACGAACAAAAAUAAAUCAUGCACAGAUGUAACACAAUGUGAGUGAAAAUAGACCCUGUUAACAGGACUGCUACAAGAAGCACAAUAGCAGUUAGAAUCUCAAAAGAAAAUGAGACACCCUGAAAAGAAUGGCUGCACUUUGUGGAAGCCAUAAGCAACCCAGUGAGGAAGAUAUUGAUUUGUCAUCUGGGACCCUGAGUGUCUAACUCAGCUUUGUUGAUCGCAAGCUUGUUCCUGUGAUUUUCCAAAGGUUGCAGUGUGGCUGCAGAUAAUCAAUGAAAGAUGGAACUUCUAAAACAGAGACAGGCAGAGACUCAAAAAGCAAAGGAAAAGCUGUUACAAGGUACUCUCAGGACAUACCACGCCACUGCCCUGACCACAUUUCAGUUGGCUAAGAGACUCCAUCCUAUCAAGACAAAUGAAGUCCUAGCUUCAAUUUUUCAUGCCUGUGUCAUCUCUCAGCUGGAUUACAGCAAUACAAUAUAUUUCUACAGCAAGCAAUAUACUCUAGG